UAAAAUAAGAGCUGGUACAAAGGUAUGUUUGUUUCUGAAAUGUGUUUCCUUCCCCAGAUGUUCCUUUCUGCCAAUUCCAAAAUGCAUUGUGAGCUCAGUUCUCCAGUUUCCUCUCUGCAGGGCAGAACAAUGAGAUCUUUGUGACCACAGGGGAACCGCUUCCCUCCCCAGUGGCCAUGGGGAGGGGCUCAAGUCAUCCCACCUUCUCCCACCUCUGUGGAAACAAGUCUGUGCCAGCGCAAGGGAAGAAGGGUCUGGCUCCCUUGUGGGGAUUGGCGAUCUCCUUUCCCAUGGUGCUAGAACUCGGUCCUGUCUUUGUUACCUGGAGUCAAACUGGGCAUUUUCCUUGGCUGUGUUUUUCUUGUGUCUAUGCUGGUUCCUGUCCAGAGGGCCAUCCAGUCUCCAGGACAUUGCACAGAUGCAGAGCUGGCGGGGAGCCAGGGAGAACCUGGUGGGAGUCACCAGAGUGCAGCAAGCCAAGCCUCAGACUGGGCCACUUGUCAUUUUUUGUUGUUGUGUGGGGGAUUGAACCCUGGCAUUUGUGCAUGCCAGACAAGUGAGCUAUGCCCCACCCUUAGCGUGUCACUUCUUUACUUGAGAUGAAUGGCUUUUGGGUGGAAGGGGUGUGAUCACUGGAGGAGCCAUCAGCUUUAUACACACUGUCCUGGACAUCACUGACUUGGUAACACACACACACACACACACACACACACACACACGCACGCACAUGGCACUUUAGAAGUGUCUCCUUGGUUGAUUUCAAAGGACAGCCAAAAGUCCUGUAUAAUGCUUGUACUUUGGGUGGUUUUGAUACUAUUCUGAAUUAAGAGCAGUCUAUAGGGGGUUGCUUUAUUGGGGUGUGUACUUAAUGAAAAUCCUUAUUUUUAAAUACGUGCAUCCUGUUUUAGAACACCCAAGAUUAAAAAUUAGAUAAAAACAGCUGACGUUGGUUGCACAUUUUCAUUGUACCAGGCAGGUUCUGAGAGAUGUUGGAUGGGUUCCUUUAAUGCCUCCACUGCUCUGUAGGUGGGGCAUCCCUAUCCUCAUGGCGUGGAAACUCAGGCUGAGAUAGGUGGAAUAACUUGCAGGAUCCAUGCAGGGACUAGAGGCCAACAGACAGUGGCUCUGUGCAUAAGGCUGUUUGCAUUAUAAGAUGUUUUCUUUGCAGUUAGUAAACUCAGUGCUGAGCUGCAAUUAUCAGCCCAGUCCUUGGCCUCUUUAACAGAUGGGGAAACUGAGGCCUAGGAGAGUGCAGCAAUGUCAGAACCGUCUCCUAGGUGUCAGUGGGACUGGUCUUCCACUCGUGAAAUGAGCACCUGUGUAGACAGAGCCUCCUGACCUUGGGGGAAAGCUGUGACCCCAGUCACAGUUGGUGGGUCAUACUCAAAGAUCUAAGAACAGAGAUACAGAGGGAGGUGGCCCCCACGGCCCUGAGUGUGUCUCCAUCCCAGGAUCCUUUCUCUUUCUCUCUGCCAUGGUCAUGGGCCACUUCCGGGAGCCUGGCAGGCUGGGAGCCCUGGAACUGAGAUGGUAUGUAAUCAGAAUGCUAUAUUUUGUCGAAAAUAAGAAUGUUAGUAAUGGGCUGGUUUCUGGCAAGUCAAACUGGGACUCUGAAAUACAUAUUUUUCUCUGCUUUACCCUAAACCUUCUAAUUAGCGAAAACGCAC
rnacentral:lncRNA from 1 species